rnacentral:rRNA from 1 species
UACGAAGGGGGCUAGCGUUGCUCGGAAUCACUGGGCGUAAAGCGCACGUAGGCGGAUCCUUAAGUCGGGGGUGAAAUCCUGGAGCUCAACUCCAGAACUGCCUUCGAUACUGAGGAUCUCGAGUCCGGGAGAGGCGAGCGGAACUGCGAGUGUAGAGGUGAAAUUCGUAGAUAUUCGCAAGAACACCAGUGGCGAAGGCGGCUCACUGGCCCGGUACUGACGCUGAGGUGCGAAAGCGUGGGGAGCAAACAGG